AUUGAACGCUGGCGGCGUGCCUAACACAUGCAAGUCGAGCGGUAACAGGUGUAGCAAUACAUGCUGACGAGCGGCGGACGGGUAAGUAACGCUUGGGAAUCUGCCUAUUAGUGGGGGACAACCCGGGGAAACUCGGGCUAAUACCGCGUACGCCCUACGGGGGAAAGCGGGGGACUUUCGGGCCUCGCGCUAUUAGAUGA
rnacentral:rRNA from 1 species